CGAUUUCCUGAGUAGCGGCGAGCGAAACGGAAAGAGCCCAAACCAAGAAGCUUGCUUCUUGGGGUUGUAGGACACUCUAUACGGAGUUACAAAAGAAAGUUAUAAAUGAAGCGGUCUGGAAAGGCCCGCCAAAGACGGUAACAGCCCGGUAGUUGAAAUGGCUUUCCCUCCAGAGUGGAUCCUGAGUACGGCGGAACACGUGAAAUUCCGUCGGAAUCCGGGAGGACCAUCUCCCAAGGCUAAAUACUCCCUAGUGACCGAUAGUGAACCAGUACCGUGAGGGAAAGGUGAAAAGCACCCCGGAAGGGGAGUGAAACAGUUCCUGAAACCGUGUGCCUACAAGUAGUUAGAGCCCGUUAAUGGGUGAUAGCGUGCCUUUUGUAGAAUGAACCGGCGAGUUACGAUUUGUUGCAAGGUUAAGCGGAAAAAGCGGAGCCGUAGCGAAAGCGAGUCUGAAUAGGGCGCAUAAGUAACAGGUCGUAGACCCGAAACCAGGUGAUCUACCCAUGUCCAGGAUGAAGGUAAGGUAAUACUUACUGGAGGUCCGAACCCACGCACGUUGAAAAGUGCGGGGAUGAGGUGUGGGUAGCGGAGAAAUUCCAAUCGAACUUGGAGAUAGCUGGUUCUCUCCGAAAUAGCUUUAGGGCUAGCCUCGAGGUAAAGAGUCAUGGAGGUAGAGCACUGUUUGGACUAGGGGCCCUUCUCGGGUUACCGAAUUCAGAUAAACUCCGAAUGCCAUGUACUUAUACUCGGGAGUCAGACUGCGAGUGAUAAGAUCCGUAGUCGAAAGGGAAACAGCCCAGACCACCAGUUAAGGUCCCCAAAUAUAUGUUAAGUGGAAAAGGAUGUGGGGUUGCUUAGACAACCAGGAUGUUGGCUUAGAAGCAGCCACCAUUGAAAGAGUGCGUAAUAGCUCACUGGUCGAGUGACCCCGCGCCGAAAAUGUACCGGGGCUAAACAUAUUA
rnacentral:rRNA from 1 species